UUUAAGAAUUCAAACUGGAUUUUCUGGGCUCCUCAAUGAAAAAUCCCACGCAGAGAGACCCUUACUCAAGUCUUGGGAAAUCGCGGACCCCAGACACAGAGAGACCA
rnacentral:pre_miRNA from 14 species